rnacentral:rRNA from 1 species
ACGUAGGUUGCAAGCGUUAUCCGGAAUUAUUGGGCGUAAAGAGUUCGUAGGUGGUUAGUUAAGUUGGAUGUCAAAGCCUUGAGCUCAACUCAAGACAGGUAUCCAAAACUGGCAAACUAGAGACAGGCAGAGGCAAGUGGAAUUCUGUAUGUAGGGGUAAUAUCCGUAGAUAUACAGAGGAACACCAAAAGCGAAGGCAGCUUGCUGGGCCUGUUCUGACACUCAAGAACGAAAGCGUGGGGAGCAAACGGGAUUAGAUACCCCGGUAGUCCACGCCCUAAACGAUGAUCACUAGGUGUUGGAGGUCUCGACCCCUCCAGUGCCGUCGCUAACGCAUUAAGUGAUCCGCCUGGGUAGUACGGCCGCAAGGUUA